rnacentral:rRNA from 1 species
AUUGAACGCUGGCGGCAGGCCUAACACAUGCAAGUCGAACGGUAACAGGGAUCAGCUUGCUGAUUCGCUGACGAGUGGCGGACGGGUGAGUAAUGUCUGGGAAACUGCCUGAUGGAGGGGGAUAACUACUGGAAACGGUAGCUAAUACCGCAUAACGUCGCAAGACCAAAGAGGGGGACCUUCGGGCCUCUUGCCAUCGGAUGUGCCCAGAUGGGAUUAGCUAGUAGGUGGGGUAACGGCUCACCUAGGCGACGAUCCCUAGCUGGUCUGAGAGGAUGACCAGCCACACUGGAACUGAGACACGGUCCAGACUCCUACCGGAGGCAGCAGUGGGGAAUAUUGCACAAUGGGCGCAAGCCUGAUGCAGCCAUGCCGCGUGUAUGAAGAAGGCCUUCGGGUUGUAAAGUACUUUCAGCGGGGAGGAAGGGAGUAAAGUUAAUACCUUUGCUCAUUGACGUUACCCGCAGAAGAAGCACCGGCUAACUCCGUG